CUACGGGUCGCUGCAGUGGGGAAUCUUAGACAAUGGGCGCAAGCCUGAUCUAGCCAUGCCGCGUGAGUGACGAAGGCCUUAGGGUCGUAAAGCUCUUUCGCUGGGGAAGAUAAUGACGGUACCCAGUAAAGAAACCCCGGCUAACUCCGUGCCAGCAGCCGCGGUAAUACGGAGGGGGUUAGCGUUGUUCGGAAUUACUGGGCGUAAAGCGCGCGUAGGCGGAUCAGAAAGUUGGGGGUGAAAUCCCGGGGCUCAACCCCGGAACUGCCUUCAAAACUCCUGGUCUUGAGUUCGAGAGAGGUGAGUGGAAUUCCGAGUGUAGAGGUGGAAUUCGUAGAUAUUCGGAGGAACACCAGUGGCGAAGGCGGCUCACUGGCUCGAUACUGACGCUGAGGUGCGAAAGCGUGGGGAGCAAACAGGAUUAGAUACCCUAGUAGUC
rnacentral:rRNA from 1 species